rnacentral:rRNA from 1 species
AUUUAUUGGGCGUAAAGAGCUCGUAGGCGGUUUGUCGCGUCUGCCGUGAAAGUCCGAGGCUCAACCUCGGAUCUGCGGUGGGUACGGGCAGACUAGAGUGAUGUAGGGGAGACUGGAAUUCCUGGUGUAGCGGUGAAAUGCGCAGAUAUCAGGAGGAACACCGAUGGCGAAGGCAGGUCUCUGGGCAUUUACUGACGCUGAGGAGCGAAAGCAUGGGGAGCGAACAGGAUUAGAUACCCUGGUAGUCCAUGCCGUAAACGUUGGGCACUAGGUGUGGGGGACAUUCCACGUUUUCCGCGCCGUAGCUAACGCAUUAAGUGCCCCGCCUGGGGAGUACGGCCGCAAGGCUAAAACUCAAAGGAAUUGACGGGGGCCCGCACAAGCGGCGGAGCAUGCGGAUUAAUUCGAUGCAACGCGAAGAACCUUACCAAGGCUUGACAUGUGCCAGACCGCCUCAGAGAUGGGGUUUCCCUUCGGGGCUGGUUCACAGGUGGUGCAUGGUUGUCGUCAGCUCGUGUCGUGAGAUGUUGGGUUAAGUCCCGCAACGAGCGCAACCCUCGUUCCAUGUUGCCAGCACGUAGUGGUGGGGACUCAUGGGAGACUGCCGGGGUCAACUCGGAGGAAGGUGGGGAUGACGUCAAAUCAUCAUGCCCCUUAUGUCUUGGGCUUCACGCAUGCUACAAUGGCCGGUACAAUGGGUUGCGAUACUGUGAGGUGG